rnacentral:lncRNA from 1 species
CUUGUGGGAGGUUUCAGGCAUUUGGAAGUUUUAGAUACGACUUCAAGUAAGAUUCACUUUCGGGUGAGGUAUUUAUAUCAGCCAGAGUCCCAGCAGGAAGAUGGCAUCUUCCACAAGAUAAGUGGGCCAAGUUUAAAGAUGAGAUGAUCUACACAGGCAACUCUAUAGAUCACUGGGGACUCAUCCUGCAGAUAUCAUUCAAGGUAUCCGGUUCAGAAUCUAUCACCAGCUCAGACUGUAGCCUCUGAAGAGAUCUCAGAUGUUUUGUGCCUUAUACAUUUAAUUCUGAGAUCAUAGAGCCCAAGGAGGUUUUGAGGACCCUCUACCCACACCUUCAGAUGUUUUCAGAGGAUUUGCUGGCAGGGCUGGGCCACUGGGCCUUGCUGGGCUCUAAUUUUCCUACCCACGUGUGUCCUAUAGACCGUGAAUUUUCUUCUAAACACUCUUGACUUUUCACUUGUUAAAUUAAAGCAUUUUCUUAA